rnacentral:rRNA from 1 species
GCCCUAGUAACGGCGAGUGAAGCGGCAACAGCUCAAAUUUGAAAUCUGGCGUCUUCGGCGUCCGAGUUGUAAUUUGCAGAGGGCGCUUUGGCAUUGGCAGCGGUCCAAGUUCCUUGGAACAGGACGUCACAGAGGGUGAGAAUCCCGUACGUGGUCGCUAGCCUUUACCGUGUAAAGCCCCUUCGACGAGUCGAGUUGUUUGGGAAUGCAGCUCUAAAUGGGAGGUAAAUUUCUUCUAAAGCUAAAUACUGGCCAGAGACCGAUAGCGCACAAGUAGAGUGAUCGAAAGAUGAAAAGCACUUUGGAAAGAGAGUUAAAAAGCACGUGAAAUUGUUGAAAGGGAAGCGCUUGCAGCCAGACUUGCCUGUAGUUGCUCAUCCGGGUUUCUACCCGGUGCACUCUUCUAUAGGCAGGCCAGCAUCAGUUUGGGCGGUUGGAUAAAGGUCUCUGUCAUGUACCUCUCUUCGGGGAGAACUUAUAGGGGAGACGACAUGCAACCAGCCUGGACUGAGGUCCGCGCAUCUGCUAGGAUGCUGGCGUAAUGGCUGUAAGCGGCCCGUCUUGAAACACGGACCAAGGAGUCUAACAUCUAUGCGAGUGUUUGGGUGUCAAGCCCGAGCGCGUAAUGAAAGUGAACGGAGGUGGGAACCUUUCGGGGUGCACCAUCGACCGAUCCUGAUGUCUUCGGAUGGAUUUGAGUAAGAGCAUAGCUGUUGGGACCCGAAAGAUGGUGAACUAUGCUUGAAUAGGGUGAAGCCAGAGGAAACUCUGGUGGAGGCUCGCAGCGGUUCUGACGUGCAAAUCGAUCGUCAAAUUUGGGCAUAGGGGCGAAAGACUAAUCGAACU